rnacentral:lncRNA from 1 species
AGUUGGCAUCAAAAGAGUCCAGAUUCCCCCAACCAAUGCGGUGGCGGGGACGUCACAUCAAUGACUACAAGAAAUGUGGGUCAGGGUGACCCUCCACCACAAACUAACAAAUUGGUCACAUAUUUUAGUGAAACUAAAAAAACAAAGAAAUAGUUGAUAAUUGUUAUUUGUUUUUCUACGCAAUUUACACGUCGUUCCCUCCAAGUAUGUUCAUUUUCCAAAUUAUAACUUUAAAGAAAUAUUUUUUGCAAUGUCGCCUUCUUUUCCAUUUUUCUCAACUUCGUCAUUAAGUGGUAUACAUCACUUGGCAAAUUAUUCAGAUCAAAUUAACCCAAACCCAAACAAGAUGAUCCAAAUACGUGUUCGACUCAUAUUGCAUCGAUACCUGAGUUAUUCUCCCAUUCAUCUUUGGCCCACCACCACGACCUCCCCUAAAUCAAAUACAACUCCUCUCUCCAGCUAACCUUCAAACCUUGACAUUAUUGACUUUUGUUGCCAAACCACCUCCAUCAACAAGGCACGUUGAAAAAAUUGCUAAAACCCCUAAAAAAAUGUGAGUUAUAUUUAGCUUAGGAACUACUAGAGACCUAUAUUUAAUUUGUUGUUCACAUACAAAUACACAUUCAUGAAUACUAUUUCAAAUUGAUAUUUGACCAUAAAAAGAGUUUGUAUGAGUUUAUUUGUUUAUUUAUGGUGGUUUAGAGUUUUUGUGUCGGAGUGAUACAUUGAAUUCUUAGUGGUAGUUGGAGGUACUAGGUGAGGAAUGGGCAAAGGGGGAGGGCCCUACUAGGGAUGGGAGUGUGUUUACGAUUUUGUUGGAGGUGUCAGGGUAAAGGAAAAGGGAGGGGAGGGGGAAGGACCAUCGAUUGCAAGAGUUGUUUUUUAGUGAUGCUUAGAGGUGGUGGAAGGGAAGAGAAUGGAGGGAGGUCUUCGGGAAAGAAGAGUGAUAAAAAUUGAAAAAAUAGGAGAGAGAUGAAGAAAGAGGAAAAAUCAAAAGUAAAAUUCGUUCAUGGAUUUGGUUUGAAUUAGAUGCAAGUGGAUUUGAAUUCAAUAGAUCCACGUAAUUAUAAGUGGGAUACAUGGCAUUUUUCAUCCAAAAAAGGACAACCGUUGAGGAUUGGUGUGCAUUGACUGACAACCAUCAAAUAGUGGAGGGGUAAAAAAAAAAAAGUAUUUCUUAAAGGUCAGUGUAAAUAAAUCGUUAUAAUUUAAGGGAAGAAAGUGUAUUAUACCCUUGUUGUCCAGUUCUAAUAUAUUUGCAACGGUUAUGGAGUUCUUUGUAACGGCGACGGCAAUCAC